rnacentral:rRNA from 1 species
UACGUAGGGGGCGAGCGUUGUCCGGAGUUACUGGGCGUAAAGCGCACGCAGGCGGUCUGCUAAGUUUGGAGUGACAGUUGGUGGCUUAACUGCCAAAGUGCUUCGAAAACUGACAGACUUGAGGGCUUACAGAGGGACACGGAAUUCCGGGUGGAGUGGUGAAAUGCGUAGAGAUCCGGAGGAACACCAAAGGCGAAGGCAGUGUCCUGGGGAGUACCUGACGCUCAGGUGCGAAAGCCAGGGGAGCGAACGGG